CUAAUUUGAUACAUUUUAUUCAUUAUGCUUAAUUCAAAUAAUUUUAAAAUAGUAUUAGUAAAUAAUUAAAUAAGUAAUAAUACUAAAUAUGAUUAAUAAUUAUCGAUUAUAUUUGAAUUAAUUUUAAAUUAAAUUUCUAAUAUUACAAUCUUUAUCUUUCAUAUUUUUAUCUUUGACGCAUGCGCAGUAAAAUAAAUAGUGUGUAAUAAAUUAAUUUGUAAUACAUAAUAUAAUUCGAUUGGUUAUUUUUGUGAUAAAAUUAUUUAAAAUAUAAAAAAAUGCAUAAAAAUAUGAAGAAAAGUUAAAAUAUAGAAAAAUAUGCUGGAAAAUAAUAAAAGCAAAUCAUGCAAUAUUUAAAGGAUUGAAAUAACAAUUUGUGAUUUCCGUUUUGUGAAUCGAAAAAAGAAUGAAGUCUGACAUAAUUAUGUCCAUAUGAUCCAAAACGAGCUAUUUUAAAUACAUGCUCUUAUCUAUAUUCUUCCUAAUUUUAAUUAUUUAUUUCUAAUCUCUCUCAUUGUCCAUCUAAUGUUCAUAUAAUUUCAUUUAACCUCACAAGUUUAUACAAACGAGAAUAAAAAUUUCGUUACGAAAUCAACUAAUUAAUAGAUCAACUGAUAAAUCAAUUAAUCAAUAUUUUAUAUAUAUAUCUACAUUUGGAUCAAAAUUAUUAAUAAAACUUGCUUUAAUAAAACUUAUUAGAAAUUGUAAUUCAAUUAUAUAAGAUAUAAAAAUUAAUAUAACUUAUAUAAGAAUUUUUCCAAUAUAAAAAUGAAACAGUUUUAAUAAAAAUUUACAUAAUAAUUAUAUAAAAUUUACAUAGUAAUAGUUUUAAUAACAGAAUUUACAUAAAGAUUUAAUAACAGCAUCUAUAAGUAAUUUAAAUUCUCCUAAUAAAAAUAUCUCUUUUCAUAUUACAUUUUUCAUCAAUUUAAUUUAAGUUAAAAUUAUAUCACAUAUACACAAUGAUACAAUAUGCAACUCAUUUUCCAAAUAUAUUACGAGAAAAAAGCAGUAUAAUUUUAUUUCAUAACCUCUAUAACCAUUUUAAUUCACAAUCUCAUUAAUAUUAUGUACAUAUUUUUAAUUCCACAAUUGCUUUAAUUGUAUUAGUUUUUUUCCAGUAAAGAAAAUAAAAAAUUUGCAUAGACGAAGUUUGAAAAUAAUUGGACAUUUAAGAUACAUAAGUUUUUCACGUCUUGAAAAGAAACACGCAAAUCUACGUCACUUGACUUUUCAAGGAGGACGCUGCAACGCGAUAAAUUUUGCUCCUCCUGCCCUCUGUCGUUCCUUAUACCCUGUGGGCCUUUCGAGGUGUCGUUUCUUUACCGAAUGAUUUAUUAACUUUGCCGCGUGACUCGUCACAAACUGAAAAAGCUUCCUUCUCUAUUUCGUAUCGGACAAAACUAACGUUCGUUAUCCGCGAAACCUUUCCACGUGCAAAAGUAAUUAAAAUGAAAAUUAUUCGUUCCGCUACGUCCUUCCUGGCGAGACGCUAUGUUGACUUCGGAAUUCAAAGUGUUCUACGAUGGAAACGAAAAAGCGAUUUGUAGUAGUACUAUUUAUAGUAGUACUAUUAUAAAAUUAGUUAGUUUGUACCAAAAGUGCUAUUUAUAUGACAGCGAACAGAUAUCUGAAAUAUAACAUAUAUAUAUAUAUAUAUAUAUAAUAUAACAUAACCUCAAUUUUCAUUCAUAACAUAAUUCGAUCAAAUACUUGUGCGUUUACAUGGAAAAAGGUGAAGUCAUAGUUAUGCUAUAGAAAGGAUCGCGAAAAAAGUGCUGGAUAAGAUCUUGCACUUUUCGCUUGAUCAAAGAAUGCUAUGAAGGGAACUUGUAAGAAAAGGAUGCAUCCCUAGUGUAACCUUUUCUUACGUCACAUUUUCCUGUUUGCGAAAAAUCCGUUAUGAAGGCUCUUCCUGCCAAAUGCUAUUAGGUGCAUACAAAGAUAAUGGAUUUUAGAAUUGUAUUCCGAAAAUAUUCCAAAAUUCAAAUAGAAAUGUAAAAAUGGACUAUUCACGAUAAAAAUCAAUCUAUUAAUUACGAAAAUAAUUGAGGUUAGGUUAUUCAUUUAUUAUUUUUUUAUAAGAAUAAAAUUUUUCGAUUAAUUCUUAUAUAAAAAAAAAAAAAUUUUUUCAUUUAAAAAUCUUAAUUGUAAUAAAAUUUAAAAUUUUUUAUUUUCAUAAACAAAUUUUAAAAUUUUUCAUUUUUUCUCAUUUUUCUUUAUUCACAUUACAUUUUUUUUUUUUCUAUAUCGAUUCACAUUUAAAAUUACAUUAUUAAAGAAUUAUUGGAAUAGUAAAUCGAAUGCAUUGAAUUUUGGAUACUGACAAACAUAAAUAUUUUUAUAAAGAUUUUAGCUGAACAAAGAUCCGAAUUUUGCGUGUUACAAUGGUAAGUGCUGUGCAGAUAAAUUUACUAAAUUUCACGAUAGAAGAGUCCUUUUGAUGGGCUGCGGUGAUCGACGAAGCGUAGAGAAUGCUGUAGCCGAAUUGUAGUAGUAAAUUUUCAGUUGCAAACUUGAUUGGCGAGCAUCAAUCCACUCAACUCUCUGUGAUGAAAGGUAUCAAAACUUGGAUUUUAAUAAAGAAAGAAAAUAUGUGGCUGAAAAUUUUUAUGAGAAAACGAAAACAUUUACUUAAAAAACUAACCCAAUUUUUGUAUAAGAAUGUAUAAAUUAAUAAAAUGUAGAGAAUAAUUUUUUCAAUAUCGCUUCUUCAUAUUUUUAUACUUUUUUUAUAUGUAUAUAAUGUAAAAAAAGAAGUUUUUUAAAAUGAAAAAAGGUAAAAAAUAUAAAACUCACAAUUUGGUAAUUCCAAGAAUAUGAAAUUGAGUAUGAAAAGUUUCAGCGCUUCCCGUUGAUAAACAAUAGAGUAAAGUGAUUAGAAACGUUCUUUAGCUGAGAUCUUGUUAAACUUGUUGAAUGGAUGAAUGAAAAUUUUCCUGGGUUUUCACGUUAUGAAAUUAACUUUAGACUUCUCCAAAUUAUAUCGAGCUUCUUGAGAUUUCAUAGUUUCUCACUGUCGAGAAAUUCACGCAUUCGUUAGGUAUAUUUUAUUAUCAUCACAAAAAAAAAUAACAUUUUCUAAUAUGUAACAUAAAACAUUUUUCAUUUAAAAAGAAUCAUCUAAAUAUCUUCUUCGAAUAUCACAAUAAAAAAAUAGAUGAAUACGAAUAAUUUAUGAAUAAUUAUAUAUGAAUAAUUUGGAUAAUAUUGAAAGAUGAAUUUUCAUUUUUAGUUUUUUUUUUUUCUUUUUGAAUUUUCAAUAUUUCUGAUAUUUCAUUUUUCUCGUAUAAAUAUAUUUAUAUUUUUUUUAUUAGCAUAAUUGAUGAUAAAAUAUAUUCAAAAUGUAUUGCGACGUGAUCUUAAAGUCUUGAUAAAAUGAAGUCUAGAUUUCAAAGUUAAAAAUUUCACAAUUAUUAUAUGAAGUUCUACAUAUAUAUAUAUAUAUAUAUAUAUAUAUAUAUAUAUAUAUAUAUAUAUAUUUAUAUGUAUAAUACGUAUAUUUCUUAUAAAUAAUAUUUAAUUCUAGAAAUUAAUAAUAAAUAUUUACAGUAAGUCAAAUUUGUCAUUAAUAAUAUACCAUUCUUUAAUAUCAAACUACUUUUAAACAU